rnacentral:SRP_RNA from 1 species
GCCAGGCGCGCUGGCACUUGCCUGUAGCCCCAGCUACUCAGGAGGCUGAGGUGGGAGGAUCACUUGAGCCCAGGAGUUCUGGGCUGUAGUGCGCUAUGCCAAUCGGGUGUCCGCACUAAGUUCAGCAUCAAUAUGGUGACCUCCCGGGAUCAGGGGACCACCAGGUUGCCUAAGGAGGGGUGAACCGGCCCAGGUUGGAAACGGAGCAGGUCAAAACUCCCAUGCUGAUCAGUAGUGGGAUCGCGCCUGUCAAUAGCCACUGCACUCCAGCCUGGGCAACAUAGCGAGACCCCGUCUCU